rnacentral:tRNA from 1 species
GGAGAAUUAGCUCAAGUGGUAGAGUGCUUGUUUAGCAUGCAAGAGGUAGUGGGAUCAAUACCCACAUUCUCCA